AUAAAAAAAACCUUCCCAAAACCCGUCACGAGUUUGGGUGAAUGGCUUUGGUUGUGGGUUUGCUCCCCAUAGACACAAGUGUGAUUCCCCUCCCUGUGGAUUACCUAUCACGAGUUGGGGCAAACGACUUUGGUCGUGGGUUUGCUUCCCACAGACACGAGUUUGUUUCCCCUCCAUGUGGAUUAUGUUAUGAGUUUGGGCGAAUGACUUUAUUCGUGGGUUUGCUCCCCACUGACAAGAGUUCGAUUCCCCUCCCUGUGGAUUACUUGACACACGUGGUGUAACUGGGGAUUUUUUUUGAAAAUUUAUUUAUUAAAUAAUCCCCACUUCCGGAGACCCACUACACCUGACCCGACUCCGUGCUGACUCGACUCGGGUGUUGGUUGACUGACUUUGAUUGCAUAUAAGUUGUUCGUUCGACGAAAAUGUUCAUCUACAUCCCCUAUUCGAAUUAGAAAUUCUGCCUUGCCUCUUAUCACUUCGCUCCUUCCCCGUGAUCAUUUUUAGGUUUUGGUUUGUCCUAGACGAUGGGGUGAGGUCCCAUGAAUGUGCACAUGGCUUACUUUCUAUUGGAUUGUCUUCAAUAGGCAAAAUCUCACACCACUUUACACAAAGGGUUGAUUAGUUGUGGAAUCAAAGUAAUAACCGUCGAUCUUUAAUUAGGAUCAAGACAAAUAUGAACAGUCAAACUCUUACCUGAAGAUGAAGUUAGGCUUGGAUUAGGAAGUCACUCAUAACGAAAUGUUUUUUUAGCUGAAAAUAUUGGGGCAUCAUUUAAAAUAGACAAAUUUUAUGCAUCAUCUUCAAAAGGAUUCUGCACCAGAAUCAAACACUAGGAAAAUUUUAAUGAUUAAGAAAUAAAUUGAUAAGAAGAAUACCAAAGGACGAUCUAUGCUAAAAUAAAAUCAAUACAUUAAAGCCUUUGAUCCUUAUAUUCCAAUCUAUACUUUCUAUUCUCAAAGUGGCUAGGGGAAAAAAUUUAGAAGUCGAGUAAGAGGAUUGUGGUAUCUGUCAAUGUGGAUUAAAUGUUAAACUCUAGAAUUCUAUGAGUAAAUUUAGAUCAAAUUAGUUAAAACUUUGCUAGUAUCGAAGUCCUCAUAUGGGUAGAUGAUAUUACCUUGUAUAAAAAUUGCUUACUCCAAGUUUGAUUCCCCUCCUUGUGGAUUACUCGUCACGAGUUUGGGAGUACGUCUUUGGUUGUGGGUUUCCUUCCCUAAAACACGAGUUUGGUUCCCCCUUCCCGUGGAUUACCCGAUGCAUGUGGUUGGCAGGUGAUCGUGUUCUUUCUUAGGGAAUAGUCUCGCCUUAAAGGGGCGGGGACACCAUGUCGUUAUAAAACAAAAGAAAAUUCUAAAUUUAGAAGUGUGGUGUUUGUCAUCGUUGCUAUAGCUAAUUUAGAACGGGAAGAAAGAGUACAAAAAAGAGAAAAGAAAAGACUUGAAGGAGCUUAGAAAAAUGAAGAGAGCAUAACGGUAAGUUUUUAGAUGCUGAACUUUACAUAGAGCUUAACUUUAAAGGGAGCUUAGAAAAUAUAUUACUUUUGAAACGAAGGAAUCCAAUGGUUUGUUGGUUAUUUCACAUCAUAAUGAUGUUGUUUUUAGCCAAUUAACUUAAAGGACAUUUAGUUAGUAAGGGUGCUUUUUUGAACUCCUUUGAAAAUUAUUCUCUUUGAGAAGUCCUUGUGGCUCAUUGGUAGUGAGCUUAAGUGUGUCACAGAAAGUUGUUUAUCCUGUCAGUUGAAGACUCUCGAAAUCUUGACGUUUUGUCACUGCUCCUCACUAAUGGUGUGCUAAAAUCAUCCUACAACUUGUAUCGCUUAGUAAUUGCUUCUAUAUAGUAAGGGUACUUUUUUGAACUCGUCACUAAUGGUGUGUGAAAAUCUCAAAAAGAAAUAUUUUCGAUUUCAAGGUCGAAUCAAGACAGCGACCAAUCUAACUUUGAUGGUGUCACCUUGCUUCAUAAACUAUUUGUGCACAUGGUGGUUGUCUUGGUCUUGUUAAGCAAGUAUUCGUUUUUUGAAUUAAGGUCAUUUUUUCUUCCAUUUAAAAUAAUUUUUUUUUCGUGCGCUCUCAUGCUUUUGAUGUUUGUGAAAACAACUAACAUCCUACAACUUGUAUCAUUGAGCAAUUAUUUCUAUUUCGGUUAUGCAUGUGUAUCGUUUUGUUUGGUUGGCCCAAAUAUUGAGAAGAACCAACACCGUUGGAGCCUUUGAUUCUUAUGGGGUGUUUUCAAAUGCUGGACUUUACAUAGAGCUUAACUUUCAAGAGAGCUUAGAAAAUAUUUUACUUUUGAAACUAUGGAAUCCAAUGGUUUGUUGGUUUUUUCACAUCAUAAUGAUGUUUUUUUUUUCCCCGGCCAAUUAACAUGAGGGACGUCUAGUUGUAAUAGUAAGGUUACUUCUCUGAACUUCUUUGAAAUUUAUUCUCUUUGUAAAGUUGAGGAUUUGAAAGUAAGACCAUGAACAAUCAACUUCGAUACUAUCACCUUGCUGCAUAAACUUUUUAUACAAAUGGUGGCACUCAUCUUGAGCAAUAGCUUGUUUUUUGAAUUAGGGUAAUUUUCUUUUUUCACUUAAAUUAUUUUUUUCGAGCCCUUUUGUUCUCAUCAUGUCUAUGAAACUAUCAUCACAACUACGAUCACCCAUUCAUGAUCAUAUGGCAUCUUCGACAAUUGCUCCUACUAUAACUUAACCCUAAGCAAUUGAUCUGUAUUGUCUUUGCUUGUUUGACACAAAUUGAGAGAAGAAAUAACACUGUUAGAGCCUUUAACACUUCUGGAGUGUUUUCAAAUGCUAUAGUUUACAUAGAGCAUUACUCUCAAGAUAGCUUAGAGAGUAUCUUACUUUUGAAACUAUGGAACUCGAAUGGAGAAGCUCUCUCAAAGAAGUCAUGGUCAAUGGAUGGUUCCACAGGGGAUCAAGUGGCAGCCAAAUGGAAUUAUGAAAAUCAUUGACAGGAAAAAGAACAUUUUAAAGCUUUCAUAAGGAUAAUAUGUUCAUGUUGAAAAUCUGGAGAACAUCUCUGGUGAAGGUUCUGAAAUUGACUUGUGGAGCAGUAUUUGAAAAAUAAGCAUAUGCGCAAUGUUGUUGAUCUGUUGAAUGAUUCCAAGGGGAAUGAGAGAAAAAAAAUCUAUCAAGUUAGAUAUUGAAGGGUUCAGGUCAGCUCUGUCUCGUGUGGAUUUACAGAUGAAGAAUCUUCCUGCACUUGCUCAGGUGGUUUUCUGAU